rnacentral:rRNA from 1 species
UACGUAGGGGGCAAGCGUUGUCCGGAUUUAUUGGGCGUAAAGAGCGUGUAGGCGGUUUGGUAGGUCCGCUGUGAAAACUCGAGGCUCAACCUCGAGACGCCGGUGGAAACCGUCAGGCUAGAGUCCGGAAGAGGAGAGUGGAAUUCCUGGUGUAGCGGUGAAAUGCGCAGAUAUCAGGAAGAACACCCGUGGCUAAGGCGGCUCUCUAGUACGGUACUGACGCUGAGACGCGAAAGCGUGGGGAGCGAACAGG